CUUUACAACUUUUGGCAAUGGAUGUCUUGGGUCCCACAACGAUGAAGAACGCAGCGAAAUGCGAUACGUAAUGCGAAUUGCAGGACCUCAUGAAUCAUCAAACUUUUGAACGCACAUUGCGCUUCUGGGUUAUUCCCAGGAGCAUACUUAUCUGAGUGUCCCGGA
rnacentral:rRNA from 1 species